rnacentral:rRNA from 1 species
UACGUAGGGGGCAAGCGUUGUCCGGAUUUAUUGGGCGUAAAGAGCGUGUAGGCGGCCUGACAGGUCUGCUGUGAAAACUCGAGGCUCAACCUCGAGAUGUCGGCGGAAACCGUCUGGCUAGAGUCCGGAAGAGGAGAGUGGAAUUCCUGGUGUAGCGGUGAAAUGCGUAGAGAUCCGGAGGAACCCCAGAGGCGAAGGCGGCGCCCUGGCUCGCAACUGACGCUCAGACACGACAGCAUGGGGAGCGAACGGG